rnacentral:rRNA from 1 species
AUUGAACGCUGGCGGCAUGCUUUACACAUGCAAGUCGAACGGCAGCACGGGUGCUUGCACCUGGUGGCGAGUGGCGAACGGGUGAGGAAUACAUCGGAACGUACCCCGGAGUGGGGGAUAACGCCGCGAAAGCGGCGCUAAUACCGCAUAUGCUCUGAGGAGGAAAGUGGGGGACCGCAAGGCCUCACGCUCUGGGAGCGGCCGAUGUCCGAUUAGCUAGUUGGUGGGGUAAAGGCCCACCAAGGCGACGAUCGGUAGCUGGUCUGAGAGGAUGAUCAGCCACACUGGGACUGAGACACGGCCCAGACUCCUACGGGAGGCAGCAGUGGGGAAUUUUGGACAAUGGGGGCAACCCUGAUCCAGCCAUGCCGCGUGCGGGAAGAAGGCCUCGGUGUAACGCUUUAGUCGGAGAAAGAUCACUCUUAAUACGGGUGGUUCUUGACGGUACCGGCGGAAUAAGCACCGGCGUAACUACGUGCCAGCAGCCGCGGUAAUACGUCUA